rnacentral:rRNA from 1 species
UAGUCCGGAUUGCAGUCUGCAACUCGACUGCAUGAAGUCGGAAUCGCUAGUAAUCGCGGAUCAGCAUGCCGCGGUGAAUACGUUCCCGGGUCUUGUACACACCGCCCGUCAAACAAUGGGAGUGGUGUUUACCAGAAGUCGUUAGCCUAACCGCAAGGAGGGCGGCGACCACGGUGAGCACCGUGACUAAUGUUAAGUCGUAACAAGGUAAC